rnacentral:RNase_P_RNA from 1 species
CGAUGGCAGAUGAUCGCUGGUGAGCCGUUUGGCUUGCUGGAGGAAAGUCCGAACACCAUACGGCAGCAUGCCGCGUAGAACACGCGGGCGCCGCACUUGAAAAACUGCGGCGACGGAGAGUGUCACAGAAAAGACACCGCCGGUUCUUUGGCAACAAAGGCACAGGCAAGGGUGAAAAGGCGAGGUAAGAGCUCACCGCUCGCGGAGUAAUUCGCGAGGCAUGAAAAACCCCAUGCGGUGCAAGACAAACAGAGGGAGGGCAGCCGGCCCGUUGAUCCUCGGGUAUCGUCGCAUCUCGGUCCCGCAACUGCGGGAUCGGACGUCCCGCGAAAGCGGGAUGAGAUAAAUGAUCAUCCGCGUGAGCAAACACGCCGACAGAAUUCGGCUUACCGCCAUCGAAAU